rnacentral:rRNA from 1 species
UGGGGGAUAUUGCACAAUGGGCGAAAGCCUGAUGCAGCGACGCCGCGUGGGGGAUGAAGGCUUUCGGGUUGUAAACCUCUUUCGCUAUCGAACAAGGCCCGCUUAGGGUGGGUUGAGGGUAGGUGGAGAAGAAGCGCCGGCUAACUACGUGCCAGCAGCCGCGGUAAUACGUAGGGCGCGAGCGUUGUCCGGAAUUAUUGGGCGUAAAGGGCUUGUAGGCUGCUUGUUGCGCCUGCUGUGAAAACGCGGGGCUUAACUUCGCGCGUGCAGUGGGUACGGGCAGGCUUGAGUGUGGUAGGGGUGACUGGAAUUCCAGGUGUAGCGGUGGAAUGCGCAGAUAUCUGGAGGAACGCCGAUGGCGAAGGCAGGUCACUGGGCCAUUACUGACGCUGAGGAGCGAAAGCAUGGGUAGCGAACAGG